GAUGAACGCUGGCGGCGUGCCUAACACAUGCAAGUCGAGCGAUGAAGUUCUCUUCGGGAAACUGAUUAGCGGCGGACGGGUGAGUAACACGUGGGCAACCUGCCUUGUAGAGGGGAAUAGCCUUCCGAAAGGAAGAUUAAUACCGCAUAAUAUUACUAAGUGGCAUCACUUGGUAAUCAAAGGAGCAAUCCGCUACAAGAUGGGCCCGCGUCGCAUUAGUUAGUUGGUGGGGUAAUGGCCUACCAAGACGACGAUGCGUAGCCGACCUGAGAGGGUGAUCGGCCACAUUGGGACUGAGACACGGCCCAGACUCCUACGGGAGGCAGCAGUGGGGAAUAUUGCACAAUGGAGGAAACUCUGAUGCAGCAACGCCGCGUGAGCGAUGAAGGUCUUCGGAUCGUAAAGCUCUGUCUUUAGGGAUGAUAAUGACAGUACCUAAGGAGGAAGCCACGGCUAACUACGUGCCAGCCGCCGCCGUAAAAC
rnacentral:rRNA from 1 species